UAGGGAAUUUUCGGCAAUGGGGGAAACCCUGACCGAGCAACGCCGCGUGAGUGAAGAAGGCCUUCGGGUUGUAAAGCUCUGUUGUAAGGGAAGAACAAGUAUGAGAGGGAAUGCUCGUACUAUGACGGUACCUUACCAGAAAGCCACGGCUAACUACGUGCCAGCAGCCGCGGUAAUACGUAGGUGGCGAGCGUUAUCCGGAAUUAUUGGGCGUAAAGGGAGCGCAGGCGGUUUAUUAAGUUUAUGGUGAAAGUUCGGGGCUUAACCCCGUGAUGCCAUAGAAACUGGUAGACUAGAGUGCAGGAGAGGUUAGUGGAAUUCCAUGUGUAGCGGUAAAAUGCGUAGAUAUAUGGAGGAACACCAGUGGCGAAGGCGGCUAACUGGCCUGUAACUGACGCUGAGGCUCGAAAGCGUGGGGAGCAAAUAGG
rnacentral:rRNA from 1 species